rnacentral:rRNA from 1 species
AGUGAACGCUGGCGGUAGGCCUAACACAUGCAAGUCGAACGGCAGCACAGUAAGAGCUUGCUCUUACGGGUGGCGAGUGGCGGACGGGUGAGGAAUACAUCGGAAUCUACUUUUUCGUGGGGGAUAACGUAGGGAAACUUACGCUAAUACCGCAUACGACCUACGGGUGAAAGCAGGGGAUCUUCGGACCUUGCGCGAUUGAAUGAGCCGAUGUCGGAUUAGCUAGUUGGCGGGGUAAAGGCCCACCAAGGCGACGAUCCGUAGCUGGUCUGAGAGGAUGAUCAGAGCCACUGUAACUGAGACACGCUCCACACUCCUCCGGGAGGCACAAGUGGGGAAUAUUGGACAAAGGGCGCGAGACUGAUCCAGCCAUACCCCGCGGGUGAAGAAGGCCUUCGGGUUUUAAAGACCUUUUGUUGGGAAAGAAAAGCCGCAGGUUAAUAACCCGCUGUUCUGACGGUAACCAAAGAAUAAGGCCCGGCUAACCUCGUG